CCUACGGGAGGCUGCAGUGGGGAAUAUUGCACAAUGGGGGAAACCCUGAUGCAGCAACGCCGCGUGAGUGAAGAAGUAUUUCGGUAUGUAAAGCUCUAUCAGCAGGGAAGAAGAAAGACGGUACCUGACUAAGAAGCCCCUGCUAACUACGUGCCAGCAGCCGCGGUAAUACGUAGGGGGCAAGCGUUAUCCGGAUUUACUGGGUGUAAAGGGAGCGUAGACGGCAGGGCAAGUCUGGAGUGAAAGCCCGGGGCCCAACCCCGGGACUGCUUGGGAAACUGCCAUGCUAGAGUGCUGGAGAGGUAAGCGGAAGUCCUAGUGUAGCGGUGAAAUGCGUAGAUAUUAGGAGGAACACCAGUGGCGAAGGCGGCUUACUGGACAGUAACUGACGUUGAGGCUCGAAAGCGUGGGGAGCAAACAGGAUUAGAUACCCCAGUAGUC
rnacentral:rRNA from 1 species